GCCUGGGUAGCUCAGUUGGUUAGAGCGCGGGCCUGAAGAGCCCGGCGUCGUCGGUUCGAGUCCGACCCCAGGCA
rnacentral:tRNA from 1 species